rnacentral:rRNA from 1 species
CCUACGGGAGGCAGCAGUGAGGAAUAUUGGUCAAUGGACGAGAGUCUGAACCAGCCAAGUAGCGUGAAGGAUGACUGCCCUACGGGUUGUAAACUUCUUUUAUAAGGGAAUAAAAUGUGCCACGUGUGGCAUUUUGUAUGUACCAUAUGAAUAAGGAUCGGCUAACUCCGUGCCAGCAGCCGCGGUAAUACGGAGGAUCCGAGCGUUAUCCGGAUUUUUUGGGUUUAAAGGGAGCGUAGGUGGGUUGUUAAGUCAGUUGUGAAAGUUUGCGGCUCAACCGGAAAAUUGCAGUUGAUACUGGCAGUCUUGAGUACAGUAGAGGUGGGCGGAAUUCGUGGUGUAGCGGUGAAAUGCUUAGAUAUCACGAAGAACUCCGAUUGCGAAGGCAGCUCACUGGACUGCAACUGACAUUGAGGCUCGAAAGUGUGGGUAUCAAACAGGAUUAGAUACCCGAGUAGUC